AUUUAAUAUCCGUACCCCCCCUGUCGAGGAUCCCUGGAAUUCUUCAGGGGUAAAAGGUUUUGAGCUUGGAAUUCUUCAGGGGUAAAGUGUUUUGUGCUUGGAAUUCUUCAGGGGUAAAGUGUUUUGAAUUUGGAAUUCUUCAGGGGUAAAGGGUUUUGAGCUUGGAAUUCUUCAGGGGUAAAGGGUUUUGAGCUUGGAAUUCUUCAGGGGUAAAGAGGUUUGAGAUUGAAAUUUUUCAGAGCUUGGAAUUCUUCAGGGGUGAAGGGUUUUGAGCUUGGAAUUCUUCAGGGGUAAAAGGUUUUGAGCUUGAAAUUCUUCAGGGAUAAAGGGUUUUGAGCUUGGAAUUCUUUAGGGGUGAAGGGUUUUGAGCUUGGAAUUCUUCAGGGGUAAAGUGUUUUGAGCUUGGAAUUCUUCAGGCUAAUGUGUUUUGAGUUUGGAAUUCUUCAGGGGUAAAUGGUUUUGAGCUUGGAAUUCUUCAGGGGUAAAGGGUUUUGAGCUUGGAAUUCUUCAGGGGUAAAGAGGUUUGAGAUUGAAAUUUUUCAGAGCUUGGAAUUCUUCAGGGUGAAGGGUUUUGAGCUUGGAAUUCUUUAGGGGUGAAGGGUUUUGAGCUUGGAAUUCUUCAGGGGUAAAAGGUUUUGAGCUUGGAAUUCUUCAGGGGUAAAGGGUUUUGAGCUUGGAAUUUUGGAAUUCUUCAGGGUAAAAGGUUUUGAGCUUGGAAUUCUUCA